rnacentral:rRNA from 1 species
UACGUAGGGUGCAAGCGUUAAUCGGAAUUACUGGGCGUAAAGCGUGCGCAGGCGGUUUUGUAAGUCUGUCGUGAAAUCCCCCGGGCUCAACCUGGGAAUUGCGAUGGAGACUGCAAGGCUAGAAUCUGGCAGAGGGGGGUAGAAUUCCACGUGUAGCAGUGAAAUGCGUAGAGAUGUGGAGGAACACCGAUGGCGAAGGCAGCCCCCCUGGGUCCAAAUGAC